rnacentral:rRNA from 1 species
UACGUAGGGGGCUAGCGUUGUCCGGAAUCAUUGGGCGUAAAGCGCGUGUAGGCGGUUCGGUAAGUCCGCUGUGAAAGUCGGGGGCUCAACCCUCGGAAGCCGGUGGAUACUGUCGGGCUAGAGUACGGAAGAGGCGAGUGGAAUUCCUGGUGUAGCGGUGAAAUGCGCAGAUAUCAGGAGGAACACCAAUUGCGAAGGCAGCUCACUGGGACGUUACUGACGCUGAGACGCGAAAGCGUGGGGAGCGAACAGG